rnacentral:rRNA from 1 species
CAAUAGCGUAUAUUAAAGUUGUUGCAGUUAAAAGCUCGUAGUUGGAUUUCGGAGUGGGCCAGUUGGUCCGCCGCAAGGUGUGUUACUGACUGGUUUGCUCUUCUUCGCAAAGACUGCGUGUGCCCUUAAAUGAGUGUGCGUAGGAUUUACGACGUUUACUUUGAAAAAUUAGAGUGUUCAAAGCAGGCUAUUGCUUGAAUACAUGAGCAUGGAAUAAUGGAAUAGGACUUUGGUCCCAUUUUGUUGGUUUGCGGAUCGAGGUAAUGAUUAAUAGGGAUAGUUGGGGGUGAUUCAUUAUUUAAUUUGAUCUAGAGGUGAAAUUCUUGGAUUUAUGAAAGAUGAACUUAGGCGAAAGCAUUUACCAAGGAUGUUUUCAUUAAUCAAGAACGAAAGUUAGGGGAUCGAAGAUGAUUAGAUACCA